GGACCAGAGGGAAGAGCGCGGGAGGCAGAAGGAGGCACCGCACAGAGAGAGGGCAGCCCCCCGCGGCCCCGGGCCCUUUGCCCGUCUUUGGGGAGCAGCUGAGCAGGCCCGGUCUUAGAGCUGCAGAAGCCAGAGGCAGGUGCUGCUGCUCUCUCCCUGGGGCUUUUGCAAAGCAGCAGCACGCGUGGGGCCCCCAGGGUCUGGGGCGGGGGGGGGUUCCGGUCCCCCGCGUGGGAGCCCCGGCGGCGGCGGCCUGCGUUCAGGUCGGGUUCCGACGACAGCCUCAGGCGUGCCUCCGAUGCCCACGCAGCGCCUCUCCCGUGGCCGUUGGGUCCAAAUUCUGCGGAACCCAGAAAUCCCUAUUCAGAUGAAGGUCUUCUCCUUAAAAACCAGGCAGUGAAUUCCAGACAUUCGUAUCUUCCUUUGCACGCGUCUCCGCGCCUCGCCGUCCCGCCGCCCUGCUCCUGCUCCUGCUACGGGCAGAGGAACAAAGGGGAGCAGCCGAGCUUCUCUCUGGGCUGGUCCCCAGGAACUGCCGGCGGAAUGGGUCCGCGGGGGCGCGAGGACUGACAGAACGGCUAAUUAUAAGGACAUGUGGGCACCAGGAGCGACGUGAUUCUUUAUAUUGCUGCUCUCUCGCCCCGUGGUCUCCACCAGAAGGGGGUCUGAGGCAGCUGGGGCCCCAGGGCCUUUGUUGGCAGGGCUCUGGGCCGCUUCUAAGCCUUCGGACUGUCCAGACCGAGACCCAGCAGUCACCUCAUUUCAGGUGUUUAGGGAAGGAUGCGCCGUCCCCCAGUGGGGUGUCCCCCCAGCCGGUAUCAUCCCAAAGCUGUUCCCUUAUUGGGGGGGGGGGCCGUGGACCCCUCCGAGCACCAGUCCGGCUCCAGUCAAACCUGGGAGGUCACGGAGCAGCCCAGACCCCCACCCUUUGCAGGACCG